rnacentral:rRNA from 1 species
AUUGAACGCUGGCGGCAGGCCUAACACAUGCAAGUCGAGCGAGCGGCGGACGGGUGAGUAAUGUCUGGGAAACUGCCUGAUGGAGGGGGAUAACUACUGGAAACGGUAGCUAAUACCGCAUACUAUCAGAUGAGCCCAGAUGGGAUUAGCUAGUAGGUGGGGUAAUGGCUCACCUAGGCGACGAUCCCUAGCUGGUCUGAGAGGAUGACCAGCCACACUGGAACUGAGACACGGUCCAGACUCCUACGGGAGGCAGCAGUGGGGAAUAUUGCACAAUGGGCGCAAGCCUGAUGCAGCCAUGCCGCGUGUAUGAAGAAGGCCUUCGGGUUGUAAAGUACUUUCAGUGGGGAGGCGUUACCCGCAGAAGAAGCACCGGCUAACUCCGUGCCAGCAGCCGCGGUAAUAC